rnacentral:rRNA from 1 species
UACGGAGGGGGCUAGCGUUGUUCGGAAUUACUGGGCGUAAAGCGCACGUAGGCGGCUUUGUAAGUUAGAGGUGAAAGCCCGGGGCUCAACCCCGGAAUUGCCUUUAAGACUGCAUCGCUAGAAUUGUGGAGAGGUAAGUGGAAUUCCGAGUGUAGAGGUGAAAUUCGUAGAUAUUCGGAAGAACACCAGUGGCGAAGGCGACUUACUGGACACAUAUUGACGCUGAGGUGCGAAAGCGUGGGAAGCAAACAGG